rnacentral:lncRNA from 1 species
AGCACGUGCCGUCCCCCUCUCGGAAGGGAAUAUUUAUGGAUGCAUGAAUUAUCUAAGGUAAUUUAGGACACAGCCCAUGUGAAACUGGGACAAAGCGAUGUGUCAAUGGAGUAGCAAAUGCAGAAUUUUCUUAUGUUCCCUUAUUCAGAUAAAACACCUCUGAAAAGGAAUUUGUGAGAAUUACCUGGCCGAACUCCAGGCUUGGCUUGACGCAUGGACCGCUUGGUUAAGGUGGGAGUGAGAGAGAAAGAGCUACCUAUGAUACCUAAGGCCAUUCAAAGAUUCACUUGCCUCGGGGGAUUCUUGGACAGACUGAAAAACUUGAAAAAAGAGGUGACAUGACUCCCUAGAGUGUUGAAUUGCUACCUACUGCUACAUGAUACCUCUUUCUCCUAAAAAGAGAGAUUGCGAAGCAAAAGAAAAGAAGUCAGACUGGCUACAGCAGCAUUAGGUCUUUGGGGAUUCCUCCCUGUAGUAAUGUGUUCCCUUAAGAUUCAUGCAGCAGUGUCUGGUUCCUACCUCCAACUUCUCCCUCCAUCUCUCUCUGAAGAAACAGUACUGCAACUGCAAGUUUCAACAUGGAAGAAAAACAUCAAAGUAAUGACAGUAAUAUAUAAUAUUCCAAGCAAAUUAGGACCUGGACUGCUUCCUCAGCAUACUUUCCUACCUGAAGAGUGAAUUUCACUAACACUGAGUUCCUGUGAAAGAGAUACCUCUUGCCUUUAGGACAAGUUGAUUUAUAUGGUAUAAUACUACAAGAGGAAGACUGCUAUGCAUGAAGUGCAGUGCAUUGUUUUGCUGAAUUUCAAUAUAAAA